rnacentral:rRNA from 1 species
AUCAUGGCUCAGGAUGAACGCUGGCGGCGUGCUUAACACAUGCAAGUCGAACGAAGCACUUUAUUAUGAUUUCUUCGGAAUGACGAUUUAGUGACUGAGUGGCGACGGGUGAGUAACGCGUGGGUAACCUGCCUUAUACAGGGGGAUAACAGUUAGAAAUGACUGCUAAUACCGCAUAAGCGCACAGGAUUGCAUGAUCUAGUGUGAAAAACUCCGGUGGUAUAAGAUGGACCCGCGUCUGAUUAGCUGGUUGGUGAGGUAACGGCCCACCAAGGCGACGAUCCAGUAGCCGACCUGAGAGGGUGACCGGCCACAUUGGGACUGAGACACGGCCCAAACUCCUACGGGAGGCAGCAGUGGGGAAUAUUGCACAAUGGGGGAAACCCUGAUGCAGCGACGCCGCGUGAGCGAAGAAGUAUUUCCGGUAUGUAAAGCUCUAUCAGCAGGGAAGAAAAAAUGACGGUACCUGACUAAGAAGCCCCGGCUAACUACGUG